CUCCUAAAUGGCAGAGAAUUGAGCAGUGAGACUGCAGGGGCGUAAUCUAUACACGAACACUGCUUCAGUAAGUGAAAUUUGUUUUGGUGACUAUAGUGUCCCUUUAAAUUCAAAAGGGAAAUGUGAAAAUUGUAUUUGUGCUCCCCCUCCCCUCUUUUGUUCCCCGCCUUCCCUUUUCCACCUUCUCAUUCAUUAUUUUGCAGUCACCAGCUGGGAGGCUAAACAAGUUAGCCCACAACACAGAAAAUAAG